AUAUUACUCCCUCCGUCCAGAAAUACUUGUCGUAGGAAUGAAUGUAUCUAGAUGUACUUUAGUUCUAGAUACAUCCAUUUAUAUCCAUUUUUGUGACAAGUAAUUCCAGACGGAGGGAGUAAAAU
rfam:Hordeum vulgare subsp. vulgare, WGS project CAJW01000000 data, contig: morex_contig_37421